CUCGAAUGGUCUCAACACAAGCAAACGGAAAUGACAUUUACUGCACCCAAAAAGUCUUUCUCUUGCAUUCAAAUAAUGUCUGUUUUAAUGAUGAAAGUUUGUAACUUUUGAAAACAAAUAAAUUUGCAGACUUUCCGCGUUAAUUUUUAUAACACCUAAAAUGUAAUCUGAACAUAGCUCAGUCACGCAUUUUAAAAUGCCUUCCUGUGCAGCACAUCGUUGUACUAACCGAUCUGAAGACGCUAAGAGUAAAGGCCUUACAUUUCACAGAUUUCCAGCAAAUGAUCCCCAUAAAGUACGACAGUGGGUUAUUAAUAUGAGGAGGCGCAGGUGGAAGCCAUCGGAGAGAUCGGUGCUGUGCUCCAGUCACUUCGAAGAGGAGUGUUUUGACAGGAGCGGCUCGACUGUGCGGCUGAGAUGCUCCGCUGUGCCGACAAUCUUCCAUCCAUCAAUUCAAGCGAAAAAGAAAUCAUUGGUUCGAAAGAAUCCCAAAGGAUUAGCGAGCGCAUCAGCAGAGGUAACGCCCAGCGUUAGUCCUCCAGCGACCACUUCAGCGGCUGUUAGUUUGGAGGCGACACCGGAAGCCACUCCAUUAAGUACUCCAAAGGUUUAUGAUCACAAUUACGCAGUUUUAGAGUCACCAAGGCAACUUAAACAAAAAGUGGAUGUUUUGAACGAGCAGUUGGAGAUCGUCAAAAAGAAAUUGAAAUAUGAGAAGCAGAAGUCAACCAGACUGCAAUUGAAAGUGUCUCGUUUAAUAUCUCUGGUUAAAAGUCUUAAUGAUGAAGGACUUUAUUGAUAUGACAAGGACAAAUUUCAUAAAAGAGGUGAUGUAUAAAUUACUUAUUGGUUAAUAUUUCCAGUCAACAAGCUUAGAAGUUUUGUAUUAUUGUGUAUUUGAAAUGCUUUCUUGUUGGACUGAGAGGAGAGAGUGCAAUGAUAUUCCCAUGCUGGAUGGUUGUUUUAGCAUUUUUAGUGCCUUUAGCAACAGAAUAUUUAUGCAUUUGAGUGUUCUCUGCAUUGUAUUUUUAGCAACGCCGAACAUUCAGAGCCACUUGUUUACUUAAAAUCGUUCAUAUUGCACAACUGUGCUGUGACACAUAGCGAUUCUGGCUUUUUAAAUCCUGAAUGGCAUCUAUAUUGAAAUAAAUGACUAAAUUAGUUCAAUUGAGAAAGUAAUUGGUUGAGUUGAACACCAAAGUGCUUAAGCAGAACUAUAAUCUUUCUAUACCUUAGCCUUUGACUGAGAUUAGGGUCCCCUGGAGUACACUGCUGCAUUUAUACACUAUUUCCUACUGAGUACUGUCAGCUAUUUUCAUUCUUAAACGUAACCAACCUAAGAGAACUGCAAUGAAGUUGUUAGCAAAUAAGUAAAAUCUGAAUAACAUGCUGUGUGAAGUUUAAUUCAGCUGUGAAAUUUACUUCGCUGUUUUAAUGUGACCGACCAAACAAACCAAAUUUUUAUUAAAUAAAUGUAUGAAGGGUUUGUUAUUCUUUAUUGCUUUGUUCAGAAUUGUGUUUUAAUAUAAUCAACCACCCAAUAUAUUCAUAUAUGAAUAUAUUCCAAUAUAUACCAAAUUUAUUCCUUUAAAAUCACAAAAUAGUUGCCAUAACUCACAGUUCAAAUUCCACUAACCUUUGACAUGAAAGGGCCAUAAUGGUAUAAUUCAGGUGUGAUUCAUGUAAUUAAGAGGGACGUGUCUCAUUUUUAAAAUUACAAACCUUUUCUGUGACUCAGUUAAUCCAAUGGAAGAUCAUUAUAGUAUUUAUACCUGCGGGACUGAUAUAUGUUAAAGCUCAGCCUUUAUAAGUCAUUUAUUAAUGCAUUGUUUCUUAAUCUGAUAUUUUUUUUUUUUGCAGUUAUUACACUGCAAAAAAAACACCUUUUUAGUUGAAGUGUUGAAUGUGCUAAAACAUUUUCCACCAGAUGGUGCAAGAGGCAUUAAUAUUACAUGGUGGUGCCACGGCCGUGCGAUGAUGGUCCCCAGUUGUGCAUUUAUUUAAUUUAUAUACUUGUGCCAUAAAACAAAUAACAUCCUGCAUGCAAGAUGACAUAUUUUUGAAUGUAUUUGUUUCUUUGUAAAAUAAUUCAAUUGUGUUCUAUGCAGAUGUUGAAAAUCCUUUGCUGACUCCAGUUUAUCUAGAGAGCAUGUAUUUGCAGUUUAUUUUUAUACUAUUUGAAUAAAAAUGACAUUAUUCCUGUCA